AACGCUAGCGGCAGGCUUAACACAUGCACUUCGAGGGGCAGCGGGGAGGAAGCUUGCUUUCUCCGCCGGCGACCGGCGCACGGGUGAGUAACACGUAUGCAACCUGCCCCUGUCAGGGGGACAACCCGCCGAAAGGCGGGCUAAACCCGCGUACAUGCCACCGGGGCAUCCCGGAGGCAGGAAAGGCUUCGGCCGGACAGGGAUGGGCAUGCGGCGCAUUAGGCAGUAGGCGGGGUAACGGCCCACCUAACCGACGAUGCGUAGGGGUUCUGAGAGGAAGGUCCCCCACACUGGUACUGAGACACGGACCAGACUCCUACGGGAGGCAGCAGUGAGGAAUAUUGGUCAAUGGUCGGGAGACUGAACCAGCCAAGCCGCGUGAGGGAGGAAGGUACAGAGUAUCGUAAACCUCUUUUGUCAGGGAACAAAGACUGGGACGCGUCCCCGGAUGAGUGUACCUGAAGAAAAAGCAUCGGCUAACUCCGUGCCAGCAGCCGCGGUAAUACGGAGGAUGCGAGCGUUAUCCCGGAUUUAUUGGGUUUAAAGGGUGCGCAGGCGGUCUGUUAAGUCAGCGGUCAAAGCCCGGGGCUCAACCCCGGCCCGCCGUUGAAACUGGCAGUCUCGAGUUGGAGAGAAGUAUGCGGAAUGCGCGGUGUAGCGGUGAAAUGCAUAGAUAUCGCGCAGAACUCCGAUUGCGAAGGCAGCAUGCCGGCUCCACACUGACGCUGAGGCACGAAAGCGUGGGUAUCGAACAGGAUUAGAUACCCUGGUAGUCCACGCAGUAAACGAUGAAUGCUGGCUGUCCGGGGGGACUGACCCCUGGGUGGCGAAGCGAAAGCGAUAAGCAUUCCACCUGGGGAGUACGCCGGCAACGGUGAAACUCAAAGGAAUUGACGGGGGCCCGCACAAGCGGAGGAACAUGUGGUUUAAUUCGAUGAUACGCGAGGAACCUUACCCGGGCUCAAACGGGGAGUGCCGCAGGCAGAGACGCCUGUUUCCCACGGGACACUCCCCGAGGUGCUGCAUGGUUGUCGUCAGCUCGUGCCGUGAGGUGUCGGCUUAAGUGCCAUAACGAGCGCAACCCCCGCGUGCAGUUGCUAACAGAUAACGCUGAGGACUCUGCACGGACUGCCGGCGCAAGCCGCGAGGAAGGCGGGGAUGACGUCAAAUCAGCACGGCCCUUACGUCCGGGGCGACACACGUGUUACAAUGGGUGGUACAGCGGGAAGCCAGGCGGCGACGCCGAGCGGAACCCGAAAUCCACUCUCAGUUCGGAUCGGAGUCUGCAACCCGACUCCGUGAAGCUGGAUACGCUAGUAAUCGCGCAUCAGCCAUGGCGCGGUG
rnacentral:rRNA from 1 species